UGGGGAAUAUUGGACAAUGGGCGCAAGCCUGAUCCAGCCGUGCCGCGUGAGUGAUGAAGGCCCUAGGGUUGUAAAGCUCUUUCAACGGUGAAGAUAAUGACGGUAACCGUAGAAGAAGCCCCGGCUAACUUCGUG
rnacentral:rRNA from 1 species